rnacentral:rRNA from 1 species
CGCUGGCGGCGUGCCUAAUACAUGCAAGUAGAACGCUGAAGAGAGGAGCUUGCUCUUCUUGGAUGAGUUGCGAACGGGUGAGUAACGCGUAGGUAACCUGCCUUGUAGCGGGGGAUAACUAUUGGAAACGAUAGCUAAUACCGCAUAACAAUGGAUGACACAUGUCAUUUAUUUGAAAGGGGCAAAUGCUCCACUACAAGAUGGACCUGCGUUGUAUUAGCUAGUAGGUGAGGUAACGGCUCACCUAGGCGACGAUACAUAGCCGACCUGAGAGGGUGAUCGGCCACACUGGGACUGAGACACGGCCCAGACUCCUACGGGAGGCAGCAGUAGGGAAUCUUCGGCAAUGGGGGCAACCCUGACCGAGCAACGCCGCGUGAGUGAAGAAGGUUUUCGGAUCGUAAAGCUCUGUUGUAAGUCAAGAACGAGUGUGAGAGUGGAAAGUUCACACUGUGACGGUAGCUUACCAGAAAGGGACGGCUAACUACGUGCCAGCAGCCGCGGUAAUACGUAGGUCCCGAGCGUUGUCCGGAUUUAUUGGGCGUAAAGCGAGCGCAGGCGGUUUGAUAAGUCUGAAGUUAAAGGCUGUGGCUCAACCAUAGUUCGCUUUGGAAACUGUCAAACUUGAGUGCAGAAGGGGAGAGUGGAAUUCCAUGUGUAGCGGUGAAAUGCGUAGAUAUAUGGAGGAACACCGGUGGCGAAAGCGGCUCUCUGGUCUGUAACUGACGCUGAGGCUCGAAAGCGUGGGGAGCGAACAGGAUUAGAUACCCUGGUAGUCCACGCCGUAAACGAUGAGUGCUAGGUGUUGGAUCCUUUCCGGGAUUCAGUGCCGCAGCUAACGCAUUAAGCACUCCGCCUGGGGAGUACGACCGCAAGGUUGAAACUCAAAGGAAUUGACGGGGGCCCGCACAAGCGGUGGAGCAUGUGGUUUAAUUCGAAGCAACGCGAAGAACCUUACCAGGUCUUGACAUCCCGAUGCUAUUUCUAGAGAUAGAAAGUUACUUCGGUACAUCGGUGACAGGUGGUGCAUGGUUGUCGUCAGCUCGUGUCGUGAGAUGUUGGGUUAAGUCCCGCAGCGAGCGCAACCCCUAUUGUUAGUUGCCAUCAUUCAGUUGGGCACUCUAGCGAGACUGCCGGUAAUAAACCGGAGGAAGGUGGGGAUGACGUCAAAUCAUCAUGCCCCUUAUGACCUGGGCUACACACGUGCUACAAUGGUUGGUACAACGAGUUGCGAGUCGGUGACGGCAAGCUAAUCUCUUAAAGCCAAUCUCAGUUCGGAUUGUAGGCUGCAACUCGCCUACAUGAAGUCGGAAUCGCUAGUAAUCGCGGAUCAGCACGCCGCGGUGAAUACGUUCCCGGGCCUUGUACACACCGCCCGUCACACCACGAGAGUUUGUAACACCCGAAGUCGGUGAGGUAACCUUUUGGAGCCAGCCGCUUAAGGUGGGAUAGAU